UUUUCCCUCGUGUUGCUAUAAAUGCUCAAGCUCUCAGAGCUGCAGACAGUGGAGAUUCCCUCGAGAGCUCAUCACCGAAAUAAAUAGCAGAAGAUGGAUCAUCAGAAACUGCCGGAAUCAGAAAAUAAAGAGCAAAGAGGACGAGAUUCAUCUGAAGAAGUAGAGAAACAGAUCCUGACACGAGCUCGACGGGACAGCAUUGAUGACAAGAGACCAAAAUGUGAGUAUCUUAUCCAGUUUUACAUAUACUCUAUGAAAUGUGCAACAAUCAAUCAGUUAUCGGUGAUCAUAACUAAAUUCAGGGCUUAAUUGCAGGAGGCUUGAAAUCAAUCGAAGCGUGAUAUCAUGGACACUAAAUGGUGAAUUAUUGGCAACUGUAAGCAUUCGUGAUUUCACAGAUUCAUGAGAGACUGUAAUAUGACGGUUUUAAAAAUAUAAAUAUGAAAUAUGUAUGAAGUGUAAGGUGUGUUUUCUAGGAUCAUACACAGUUUCAAAGGUCCUUUAAAAAUACAUUUUGGGGAUUGAAAGUGGCUGAUCUUAAUGUUAAAACUAGGGGGAGACCGGAGUCAACUGUAACAUCUCAAAUUACACCAAUUUUAUCUCUCUCUGCAUGCCAGAGGACAAACUUCUGAGUCAUACUUGAUAGAAUUUUUCUGCAAAGACUCAUUUUUGAUUUUUCCUCAUACUGUCUAAACCAUUAAUGUCUAUGAAUUUAAAUGUGUCUUGUUUUGAUGACCAUUCUGUUGUCUAACAUUUGAUAUCUUUGUCUAUCUAGCAGAGCUUGUCACGGGGUGGUUCAGUCACGACUCUAUCAAAGUCCAGCUUAGUAAGGACAUCAGAACACAUUAUUGUUUCCAGUAAUUUAAGAAAAGUGUUUUGUGUUCAGUUUAAAUAUCUAUGUAUACUCUAAAUAUUGUAGUGUGGUAACGUAGUCCAGUAAAGUCUUUUGCCUCUCAAUCUGGAGACCAGGGUUCAUUCUCAUGUUUAUGAAUCAGAAGUUGUCUUAACUUUAAAUACUGCCAUACCGGCGUAAGAUCAACAGAUUUAUUAACAUAUUUACUAUUGUUUUUGGCUUGUAAUAGUAGCAUGGAAACUCAAUAUGGAAAAUAAUAGUUUUUUUUCUAAUAAUGUGAUAAAGUUUUAUUGUGUUCAGAACUAUAGCCUGUUCAAUCAAUAAUGUGACUCUAACAUUGCUUGUAAAAACAUCUGGUGACUGUUAACAAGUAGAACACAGAUACAAGUUACUGACAUAAAAAUUGUAUUAAAAUAUUUCAGAAGGUUUUUGAGUAAUGACGACAUGACCAAAAUUUGUUACGUUUGUCCCCGUCUCUCCUAUCAUUGAUCGUUCUCUGCCUCAAAUUUAUUGAUUUACAGUAAAAAAAUGUAACAUUUAUCCACUAUAUAUGAACUGCAUGAAAACAAUAAUAUAUUUGUGUUUUUAAUUAUUAGUUUCUCGAGAUUCAGUCUGAUGUUUCAAAGAGACACUCACAGAUGAGCCACUGAUGAAGAUGAAGAAAGAAAAGAUGAAGAAGAUGAAGAAGAAAAAGAAGAUGUAUCGUCAGCUGUGAGAAUAAGUGUUUAUGAAAAACAAAGAUGAAUGAAGUGUAUAUAUUUAAAUUGCAGCUUUUGUAAUUUCAUAAAUGCACUAAUCAAUAGUGCAAUAUAGAUUUUUCUUAGAUUUAUCAAGCAGUCAAAGACUAAACUGUUUUUCACUGCAAUGUAAAUUUGCUUCAAGUGUCUUCAAGUUCAGUGUUUGAUCGUGUCUGUAUGUUUACAUAUUUAAAACACUUCUAUAGUUUUGAUUUCAUUUGAUUUUGUAUAUUUUUAAAGAUAUUAAAUAUUUAAUAGUACAGUAUUCAUUAGUGAAUGUACAUUAAUAAAAGUUAACAGAUCAGUUCUUGCACUUUUUAUGGCAAUGAAUGUGUAUGAAAGUAUUUGAUAUUUGUAAAUAUAGCACAUGUUUUUCUGAAUUUGAUAGUUUUAUAGUAAUCACUGAUGUCGUCACUGUAUCUCCGUUACUGUGUGAUUGUAUAGAGUUGUUUAAGAAUUUAUAGACUUGGUCAUUUUGAAGCUACAGAUCUUAAAUAUGAUGAUCCUCUUGUGAAGAAACACCUUCCUAAAAUAUAAACAUCUGUGGUUGUGAAUAAAGAAAUGACAUUAUUUCUCUCUGAAAUCUGAGAUGUUCAACCUCUUACAGACCCUGAACAGCAGUUUGAAAACCUCUGGUUUAAGACACAGAUGUGAUUAUUUCUGUAAGAUGUUCUGAAGUGGUUCAUUUCAAUCAUAAUAAAGAUGCCUAGAAGAAAACAA